AAAAAAAGCUUGAUCAUUACUCCAUCCUGGAGCCUUAAAAUCCAAGCCUCUGGCCCCUUCCAAAACCGUUCGUACUAAAUUCCCAAAUCAAAACCAAACGUAGCGCCAUUCAUUUGGUGGCUGGAGGAAAGCCCCGCUCCUCUCCUCUCCUCUCCUCUCCUCGCUCCAUCGUUUAGGACUUUCGUCUUCGCCUCGAUUCCUUCUCCUCCUAUUCAGUCCGGGGGAUAAAGGAAAGAGGAAAUGGAUCCCGUCGCAUCCGUGUUGGAUAGAAUCAAAGGGUUCCUGAAUUCCACCGAGCAAUUCGUGAAGGGGGCGAUCCAGCGGCGCUUCGAUUUUCACCGCCACGAUCCAAUAGGGAUUCUGAAGCGCUUGCAACGAGAAGCAUUUUCUGACUUGAUGAAGCUUAGGGAUAGGCAGGACAAGGUCGAGCGCAUGCUUACAUUCUAUAAAUCUAGAAAAGGAAGUCUUUUCCCUGAAGCCAGCACACGCAUGAAAGGAAUCAUUGAUGUGGCUGGAGUAUUAAUGCUUCGUGAUGAUCAGCAGACAUAUGAUACCCUGGAUAGAGCGGGAAUAAAUUCUGGCAUAGACUCAAGGUUUAUUUUUGAGACUACUGUCAGGCAAAAGGAUUCUCUUGUAGCAGAAUUUAUGUCUAGUAGCAAUGACAUUUAUUAUGAUAAUGAUGUUGCCGGAAGCCCCCUGGUACUAGCAAAAGUAAUGUACCUGGCGCAUAUUAAUGAACUGCUGUCUGUAAUUUCAAUACCAUUUGGAGCUAAAUGUAAUGAUUUUCGUUCUGAUAUGAACCUGGCAGAGGGCAGAUGUCUUACUGGGUUCACUUCAUUCAGCCCACCAUUGUUUAGUCAACAUCAUGGCUGUGCUACUGGUUUAACAGUCAAAGCAUCAAACUUUACUGCUUCUUUGGCUGAGUUGAUUUCUAGUUUGGGGUCUGAACCAGAUGCUGCUGAUUACAGGAGUAUCUUGAGCACAUUUUGGCAAAUUUCAUACCAGCUAUCAGAAGAAGCUAAACUCACUUUGUCUGGUGCCUGGAAAAUGCCUAGUUCAUUGUCACAGCCUAUUAGAGUCAGUAAUGUUGCCGUACCAAAAGCCAAAUUGCGAUCCCAUUUCAGACCUGAUGUAAUGGCACAAGCAUCCCCUUCUGCCACUACAAUGUCUACCAUAGGAAUUAUAUCAGGAGGAUCUGCUGCCAUAACAUUAGAGUUUGAUGAAAGUACAAAAUUUGGGGGAUGGGUUGAGGUGCAAAAGUCAAACCCAAACCCCAGUCUCUUGCAGUGGGCCAUCACCUUAUCUGAUACUCCGGACGAUGAGCUAGGCUGGGGUUUGAGUGUGGGAGGAAGGGUUGAAGGGCAAUCAAAUGUUGUUUGUUUGGAAGGCUUUCUCAAUUUCAGUAUGGGUAAGAGAGCCAGCUUGCAGCCUGGUCUUGUGUGUGUAAUGGAUGGGAAAAGUCGAACCCCCGCACUGGUGUUUCGAUCAAGUUGGUUUAUGUGACCAUCUGACGGACUGAAGUCUAUGGUUGAUUAUAAACUACUGGAAGUUAUGGCGCUUCUGCUUUGGCGGAGGAUUCAAUUCCUCCUGCACAAGGAUAAACAACAUUGCUGUCAAAUCAUGUUGGGUGGGCCUUCGUUUGCCUCCCAAUUUGUUUGGUGGGAACCGAAGAUUAAUUAUGUGUUGGGCCGGCUUUAUGAAAUGUUUUGCAUCUUAUGUGGAAUUACUGGAGUUAGGAGGUUUGGAUUUCUUUUGGUUGUGUACUUAUUGCCUAGACCUAGAUUUUUUUUUUUUUUUUUCAAAGAUGUGUCUCAACAGCAUGGUGACAACAUUUUCUGAGUUAUUUGAAUUUCUUGAGGUGGCUGAAUGAUUCUUCAAGUUCUCUAAUUAUUGAAACUAAUCAAGAAUGGCCUUGGUGAUUUGGUCAUAAUUAUUAAUUGACUUAAUAAAUACUCUUGCAUUACGAAUAAAUGAUGUUAUUA